rnacentral:rRNA from 1 species
GAUGGCGACCGGCGCACGGGUGCGUAACGCGUAUCCAAUCUACCCAUGGCUCUGGGAUAGCCUUUCGAAAGAAAGAUUAAUACCGGAUGGUUUGUUAUUACGGCAUCGUGAUUACAAUAAAGAUUUAUCGGCGAUGGAUGAGGAUGCGACUGAUUAGUUAGUUGGUGAGGUAACGGCUCACCAAGGCUACGAUCAGUAGGGGUUCUGAGAGGAAGGUCCCCCACAUUGGAACUGAGACACGGUCCAAACUCCUACGGGAGGCAGCAGUGAGGAAUAUUGGUCAAUGGACGCAAGUCUGAACCAGCCAAGUAGCGUGAAGGAAGACUGCCCUAUGGGUUGUAAACUUCUUUUGUUUGGGAAUAAAGUAUUCUACGAGUUAGAGUUUUGUAUGUACCAUACGAAUAAGCAUCGGCUAAUUCCGUGCCAGCAGCCGCGGUAAUACGGAAGAUGCGAGCGUUAUCCGGAAUUAUUGGGUUUAAAGGGAGCGUAGGCGGACCUUUAAGUCAGCGGUAAAAUGUCGUCGCCCAACGUCGUCAUGCCGUUGAAACUGUUGGUCUUGAAUACACACAAGGAUGGUGGAAUUCGUUGUGUAGCGGUGAAAUGCUUAGAUAUGACGAAGAACUCCGAUU